rnacentral:rRNA from 1 species
UACGUAGGGUGCAAGCGUUAAUCGGAAUUACUGGGCGUAAAGCGUGCGCAGGCGGUUAUGUAAGACAGAUGUGAAAUCCCCGGGCUCAACCUGGGAACUGCAUUUGUGACUGCAUAGCUAGAGUACGGUAGAGGGGGAUGGAAUUCCGCGUGUAGCAGUGAAAUGCGUAGAGAUCGGGAGGAACACCAGAGGCGAAGGCGGCGACCUGGACAGGUACUGACACUCAACUACGAAAGCGUGGGGAGCAAACAGG